UACGUAGGGGGCAAGCGUUAUCCGGAGUUACUGGGCUUAAAGGGCGUGUAGGCGGUUUGUUAAGUCUUGCGGGAAAGCUCUCGGCUAAACCGGGAGAGGUCGUUGGAUACUGGCGAACUAGAGGAUGGUAGAGGCGUGUGGAAUUCCGGGUGUAGUGGUGAAAUGCGUAGAGAUCCGGAGGAACAUCAGUUGCGAAGGCGGCUCUCUGGACCAGCACUGACACUGAGGCACGAAAGCGUGGGGAGCAAACAGG
rnacentral:rRNA from 1 species